AUUGAACGCUGGCGGCAGGCCUAACACAUGCAAGUCGAGCGGAUGAAGGGAGCUUGCUCCUGGAUUCAGCGGCGGACGGGUGAGUAAUGCCUAGGAAUCUGCCUGGUAGUGGGGGAUAACGUCCGGAAACGGGCGCUAAUACCGCAUACGUCCUGAGGGAGAAAGUGGGGGAUCUUCGGACCUCACGCUAUCAGAUGAGCCUAGGUCGGAUUAGCUAGUUGGUGGGGUAAAGGCCUACCAAGGCGACGAUCCGUAACUGGUCUGAGAGGAUGAUCAGUCACACUGGAACUGAGACACGGUCCAGACUCCUACGGGAGGCAGCAGUGGGGAAUAUUGGACAAUGGGCGAAAGCCUGAUCCAGCCAUGCCGCGUGUGUGAAGAAGGUCUUCGGAUUGUAAAGCACUUUAAGUUGGGAGAAAGGGCAGUAAGUUAAAACCUUGCUGUUUUGACGUUACCAACAGAAUAAGCACCGGCUAACUUCGUG
rnacentral:rRNA from 1 species